rnacentral:tRNA from 1 species
UCCUGGCAGGCUCUGUCAGUGGAGCAUGCGACUCUUGAUCUCAAAGUUGUGAGUUUGAGUCCCACGCUAGGUG